GCUGGGGAUCUAGCUCAGUGGUAGAGCUCUUGCCUAGCAUGUAGGAGGCUCUGAUUCAAUUCCCAGCA
rnacentral:tRNA from 1 species